rnacentral:rRNA from 1 species
GAUGAACGCUAGCGGCAGGCUUAAUACAUGCAAGUCGAGGGGCAGCAGGACUGUAGCAAUACAGUUGCUGGCGACCGGCAAACGGGUGCGGAACACGUACGCAACCUUCCUUUAAGUGAGGGAUAGCCCAGGGAAACUUGGAUUAAUACCACGUAAUAUUUAAGAGUGGCAUCACUCUUUAAUUAUAGCUCCGGCGCUUAAAGAUGGGCGUGCGACUGAUUAGGUAGUUGGCGGGGUAACGGCCCACCAAGCCUGCGAUCAGUAACUGGUGUGAGAGCACGACCAGUCACACGGGCACUGAGACACGGGCCCGACUCCUACGGGAGGCAGCAGUAAGGAAUAUUGGUCAAUGGACGCAAGUCUGAACCAGCCAUGCCGCGUGGAGGAUGAAGGUCCUCUGGAUUGUAAACUUCUUUUAUCUGGGAAGAAACCCAUAUUUUCUAGUGUGGUUGACGGUACCAGAUGAAUAAGCACCGGCUAACUCCGUGCCAGCAGCCGCAGUAAAAC